GUGUGUGUGUGUGUGUGUGUGUGUGUGUGUGUGUGUGUGUGUGUGUGCGUGUGUGUCCCAGUCCCCAUAUUAAAUACAGUCAGACCUGAGAUAGGGAUUAAGACUAAAACCUAACCCAGACUAGACCUAAGGACUUGUAGCAGUCUGAGGAGAAGUUUAAAGAGAAGAGAAGUUUAGAGAGAAGAGAAGGUUAUAGAGAAGAGACGUUUAAAGAGAAGAUAAGUUUAUAGAGAAGAGAAGUUUAAAGAAAAGAGAAGUUUAAAGAUAGACAUACGUGAAUGUGCCUCUCUGUUUGAACCAAGACUUUAUCAGGAGUAGGAAAAGUCCUCGUGAGGAGGACUAAGGUUGUGGUCAGGUAGUCCAAAAAUACAUCCUGUGUCUUUUCCUAACUAUUUUUCCUUGACCUUGAUGGAAAACGUCAAAGAGGUCAAAGAAAGAUGUGAAGGAGAAUUCACAAGGACCUGGGAAAGACAUCCGCAGUGCUAGGAGAAUCCCACUGCACUUGCUCUAGGCCACGUGAUUAUGCAACGGCGGAUGUUAUUGACGCGGGUCGUACUGAUUGUUCGAUGUUUCUGCCACAAGGAAUUGUGGGUCGCCAUUAUCUCCUUUCCUAAGAGAGAGCGGGGAGGAGAAUCAGUCAAGCAUUUAGGCUCGAAUAAGGGAAGGUGAUCACCAUAUCACCACCAUAUACUGUAGGUCCGCAACCUCUUAGUGUGGCCCCCAAUCACAGUGGCUAGAUAGGUUUGGUUUACAGACAUCAGCCAAGAUAAACAUAAACAAACAAA